CGCCCGGUGCGCAGGCAGCGGUUACUUCCACUCUUAAUGGGCAGGUUGCGGGUUCGAAUCCCGUCCGGUCUU
rnacentral:tRNA from 1 species